rnacentral:rRNA from 1 species
GACGAACGCUGGCGGCGUGCCUAAUACAUGCAAGUCGAACGCAGUGGGGACGGGUGAGUAACACGUGGGUAACCUCCCAUCAGAGGGGAUAACACUUGGAAACAGGUGCUAAACCGAUACUGAUGGAUGGACCCGCGGUGAAUUAGCGAGUUGGUGAGGUAAAGGCUCACCAAGGCCACGAUGCAUAGCCAACCUGAGAGGGUGUUCGGCCACGCUGGGACUGAGUCACGCCCCUGAUUCCUACGGGAGGCAGCAGUGGGGAAUCGUCGGCAAUGGACGAAAGUCUGACCGAGCAACGCCGCGUGAGUGAAGAAGGUUUUCGGAUCAUAAAACUCUGUUUUGAGAGAAGCGGUAUCUAACCAGAAAGCCACGGCUAACUACGUGCCAGCAGCCGCGGUAAUAC